ensembl:misc_RNA 7SK 7SK RNA
GGAUGGUGUUGGGCGGUCUAUCGGAGACACCUGUCACUCCAUUAAUAACCAGUAUUGAAACAACUGAUAUGGCAGGUUGGUUGGGAAUCCCCUUCCUCCAUAAACACUCCUUGUUCAUCCCUUUAAAAGUGUUAUUCUUAGUCAAAGAGGACAACAUUCUCACAACAGAAGAGGACUAGUCUUUGGUCAAGGGUGUACAUGUAGCUGCUCAUCCCUGCUAGAAUUUCCAAACAAGCUCUCAUGAGUACCUUUUGCUGUGUGCCUUCAUGCAGCCCUCUCACCAUCAAGGUGCUCCUU